GACGAACGCUGGCGGCGUGCCUAAUACAUGCAAGUCGAGCGAACCAAUAGGAGCUUGCUCCUGUUGGUUAGCGGCGGACGGGUGAGUAACACGUGGGCAACCUGCCUGUAAGACUGGGAUAACACCGGGAAACCGGUGCUAAUACCGGAUAAUCUUUUUCCUCUCAUGAGGAAAAACUGAAAGUCGGUUUCGGCUGACACUUACAGAUGGGCCCGCGGCGCAUUAGCUAGUUGGGGAGGUAACGGCUCACCAAGGCGACGAUGCGUAGCCGACCUGAGAGGGUGAUCGGCCACACUGGGACUGAGACACGGCCCAGACUCCUACGGGAGGCAGCAGUAGGGAAUCUUCCACAAUGGACGAAAGUCUGAUGGAGCAACGCCGCGUGAGCGAUGAAGGCCUUCGGGUCGUAAAGCUCUGUUGUUAGGGAAGAACAAGUACCGGAGUAACUGCCGGUGCCUUGACGGUACCUAACCAGAAAGCCACGGCUAACUACGUGCCAGCCGCCGCCGUAA
rnacentral:rRNA from 1 species